UUUUAUUUUAGGGUGAUGCUUCCAGUUUCUGUGAAAUGAAAAAAACAAAUACUUUUUUGGAAUAGGAAAUACGAAACCUGGUUGUGGUAUUCCAACUCAAAAUGUACAUACAUGAAAACAUAUCUUGAGAAUGAAUUUGGGCUGCUGCAAACCGUCCUUCAAGAAAAUACGGCGAUUCUUUUAAUCUUCACAUAUAUAGUAAACGAACUGCCAUAUCAGUCAGCUGGAAAAAAAAUGAAAGUUUCAUUAGUUAUGUAUUUUGUAAGACAAAAUUUCUACAUAUAAUUUGCUUUAAUAAAAUCAGCAUUUUUGUUUUUAA